AACGAACGCUGGCGGCAGGCUUAACACAUGCAAGUCGAGCGCCCCGCAAGGGGAGCGGCAGACGGGUGAGUAACGCGUGGGAACGUACCUUUUGGUUCGGAACAACUCCGGGAAACUGGAGCUAAUACCGGAUAAGCCCUAACGGGGAAAGAUUUAUCGCCGAAAGAUCGGCCCGCGUCUGAUUAGCUAGUUGGUGAGGUAACGGCUCACCAAGGCGACGAUCAGAAGCUGGUCUGAGAGGAUGAUCAGCCACACUGGGACUGAGACACGGCCCAGACUCCUACGGGAGGCAGCAGUGGGGAAUAUUGGACAAUGGGCGCAAGCCUGAUCCAGCCAUGCCGCGUGAGUGAUGAAGGCCUUAGGGUUGUAAAGCUCUUUUGUCCGGGAAGAUAAUGACGGUACCGGAAGAAUAAGCCCCGGCUAACUUCGUG
rnacentral:rRNA from 1 species